GGUAAAACGACACAUGAGCCAGAGGGAGGCAUUUGGAAUUCCUGGAUCCGAUAAAGACGCGCAUAUCACGCAGCAGUUGUCAAAUCUAUAUGUACUUUACAUACGUUAUAUGUAUAAAGAAUGGGUUAUUUGAAUACGUUUUAUCCAGGAGAUAGUUAUGGAAACUAGUAUAGGACAGGCCAUGAAUCCGGCACACAACAGAAGAGAGCGCGGUUUUCACGCAACUAAAACCUGUGCGGCUGUCUGGAGCGGACGGCGCAGAUGACUCGUCCGUUUUUGAAGAAGUGAAACCCCCGGUGAGAAUUAGUCCACAUCUUAACCCGUUGGAGGGUAGGCCAGACCCAGUUGGAGAUGGAAAAGUACCUCCCCCAGACCACAUGCAGUCUCCUCCAUCCUCCAUCCAUGGCCCACACAGACAAGAACUGUGGAGAGAGCGCCUCAUUGGUGGACAAGUACUUCUCAGAGGAGAAGCACAACACAGCUCCCUACAGCAUCAACAUCAACCUCAUCCUCCCCAAAACCACCCACCUCUGCACCGGCCUGAACCGGCCCAACAAGCCCCAGCAGCACCACCAGACCCAUCUCCUCCAGCACAUCAAGACAGAGCCUCGGUUGGACGUCCCAGCGUCCUGCUCCAUCCAGACCCUACCUGACUUCUUGUCUGUCUUCAGCAUUCCCCAGACCGUCAACACUAUGUUUAUCAAACCUGAUAUGGCCACCAGCGGACACCCAGUUUCAGAUACCGAGCUGCAUAUUGGCCCCCAACAACCGCAGGUCUACCAGAUGCCCAUCCCCGUCAGCGGAGCUGACCUCACAAUGACACUCUCCCGCAGCAGCCAAUCAGGGACCAGCGGAGCCGGCAAUGGUAGAACCAUGCUCAACCUGAACAGUGUCUCCUUGACAACGGUGGGUCAUGGCGGUGGUGACUCGUUGUUUGCAAUGCCGGAGCAUUUCUACCACCACCACGCCAAGGUGUCGCCCCAGUCACAGCCCCACAGUCUACCUCCCUCACCCCCCAACUCGCAGCCGGGUAGUCCUGAGAACCAGGCUGAGCUGCUGACCACUCCACCGCCCUUCCAGGCCUCUAGCAGACUGGGGUUAAAGGUCACCCAAAUGUCCCACCACUCCAUGCUUAUGGCCCAUGGACAAUGGUUGCUGACAGGACCCAGGUACAACCGACGGAACAACACUGAGCUCGAGAAGAGACGGAUCCACUUCUGUGACUUCCCCGGCUGCUCCAAGGUUUACACAAAGAGCUCUCACUUGAAAGCACACCAAAGGACACACACAGGAGAGAAACCAUACUCUUGCAACUGGGAGGGCUGUGACUGGCGUUUCGCCCGCUCUGACGAGCUGACACGACACUAUCGUAAACACACGGGAGCCAAGCCCUUCAAGUGUGUAGCCUGCAGGCGCUGUUUCUCCCGGUCCGAUCACCUUGCCCUACACAUGAAGCGCCACCAGAACUAAACACACACGCUACGACCACCUGAAAUGUCACCAGAACUAAACACGCACACAUACGUACAUGCACGUGAGCAUGUGCACCAGCAUAAACACCCAACCACCAACACAUCCACCCACACACAUGCUACGACCACCUGAAGCGUCACCAGAAGAGAGGGACACAUCACCACCAUCCUGAAGCCCCAGAAUGCAUUGCACUGCAUGAGGGCCAACACAAAGAUCAAAAUGUCUGCUCCUGUAAUGACAACAUCAUCAUUGGGAGAAUACUGCCUCAGCAAAAGAUAAGGACAUCUCCCAGCCAGUCGAUGAACAAGGACACCUAAUCCGCCAACACCACAUCCACCACUGUCUCGACACCACCCAAGAGGAUUCACCUCCAACCAGCAGAGGGCCUUCUACCACAAGCCGUCCCAGCAAGCCAGUCCCCCAGACUACCCAGCAGGCCGCUCAGGUCAGUGAUUCCAUGGCUUCCUACUACAGUGCUCCCUCUAUUUCGCUCAUCAGAUGGCAGCCCCCACCACCGCGACGUCCAAGGUUGCCACGGUCAUUUCCCUACUGACCAGGCGGGCGCUGGAGUGGACUACGGCUGCCUGGGAGAGAGGAGAGGAAGAUCUGGGUUCUUACGAGGGGUUCAUAGCUAUAUUCAGGGUGUUUUUUGACCAUCCACCAGAGGGCAGAGCGGAAGGUGAGAAACCAUUCCAACUCCGGCAGGGUGCCCAGACCGCUGCAGAGUACACCCUCACCUUCCGGACCGUGGCAGCCUCCAACGGAUGGAAUGAAUAGGGUGUACUCCACACCCUAUUCUGAAGAGGACUGCACGAGGAGGUCCAGACAUAGUUGGCGUGAGACACCUGGGGCUGUGUCCCUAUUGAGACCAGGAGGGGCACUGGCUCCAGCAGUGUCCGGUGCGUCCCAACCCGGAGUCCACUGGGACAGAGGGACUUCCCCGUGAUCAUUCAUCUCCCAGGGUCGGUGUGAGUGUUCCUUCAUCAUCAUUUUACACCAUACCCUUCAUGGUUUCCAUUUCACUGGCUGGCUGUCUCUCAGGUGUUGUCUCUAAAGCUCUAGUGGACUCUGGUGUCGCUGGGAAUUUUAUCAACCAGGCCCUCAUCUCCUUCCUGAACAUCACCGCGUACCUGCUCUCCUCUCCUUUUCCGGCCCAAGCCCUUGAUAAACAACCAUUGGAAUCCGGCACUAUCACGCACAUCACAGCACCACUCACCCUUACCGUGGGACACUUGCACCAAGAAAGCCUUCCAUUCCUCAUCCUCGGCCUUCCGUGGCUCCAACGUCAUGACCCCACCAUCUCCUGGUCGAGGAUGAAAAUCACUGCCUGGGCACCUGAAUGUCCCUUACCUUGCGGUUCCACAUCGAUUGAGAGCCAUGUGAGUGACCUCCAGCCCAUCAAUCUGUUCUCCCAUAUUGUUGGCCCUGUGUUUUGGGACAUAGAUGUGGACAUCCACCAGGCUCUGGAGAGUGAACCUGCGCCUGCUACCUGCCCUCCUGAGCACAUCUACGUCCCCACGGAGAGGAAUCUACAGGACGAAGCAGGUCUGGCUGGAAACAUUGAGGACUCAUACAAGAAACUAAACCAAGGGACCUGAAGAAUUGUCAAUACUGUGGACAGAGAAGAAUUUAUGCAGCAACAUUUGGCUUCAAUUGAAUGACGAGAUUUAUACGUUUACAUGUUGAAAUGGUAUGUUUUAGUUUGUGUUUUUUGUGUGGGACAUUUAGACACCACUUUUUGACAGAUAAUGAAUGCAAUGUACAUCCUCACCAGACAUUCCUGCCGGAUCAAGCCACGCUCCCUCCCUAUGUAGCUAAAUGGUCUCUUUCCAAAUUAACUCCACAGGAAGAUGGUGUCACUGUAGAUAUCUAAAAUACUCUAUUGUUUGCUUACGUCUGAGGUGGUAAAGGUGCUCAUAUCACUGAAAGUGUUACAUUGAAAUUCAUUGCUGAGAAUGUCCAAAUCCAACAGAGUAUAUUAAUUUAAUUUCACCGUUGCUUUCACUGUAAAUGUCCAUUAAUAUGUUAUUAACACUUUUAUUUGCAUUUAUUUGCACCAAAGAAAACAAUUGCUAGACAACAGUACAGAUAUCUUUUUUUUCUUAAACAAUGUGCAGGUGUGUUUGGAAGCCCAAGGGCUUACAUGAAAAACACGCCACAAAAAAAACCAAUAUAUAAUACAUCAGUACAAAAUAAAAAAAGGUUUGUUAAAACAUAACGAAAUUUACUAAUUAUACAUGUAUAAAUGAAUUGAACUGUAAUAUUUGUUUUGUUUAAAUGUGCGUGCCUGUGAGUGCUAGGCUAUAUGGAGAAGAUUACUGAGGAGUUUGGUUCAUCAGGCUGACCCCCAGUCUUCACUUGUAGUUAUUGAGGGAUAAUGAUGUUUUGGCAAUGUGAAGAUAAGAAUUCCAGAGUAUGGUACCUCUAUAUCUGAUAGUCAGUUCUCUAUGUGAGGUUCGGCAGUUGGGAGGGUGAAGGUUAUCACAGUGUCUUGUAUUAUCUACACUGAAAAACCCAACAAGUUCUGUGAACUCAUUUUUUUGGGGGGGAAAACGAUCACCUAAAAGAAACAUCUGUUAAACUCAAAAGUUAAAAGUAAGGUCACACCUAAUUAUUUUUGAAUUACUUGUAGUUAACCUAAUGGUUUCAUGCAAACUCUUUUUAACUGUACUUAACUUUAAAAGAUUGUUUAAUUAAUUGAAAACAUUCAAUUGCUGCAUAUUUAAUUGCUAUGCUUUCUCUGUAGCGCAAUAGUCGUACCAACUCAACAUAUUAACUUCAACGAAACUCAUUCUUUUGACCUUACUUAACUUACCAUUUUUGGACACCGCUUACCUCGAUUUAGUUAGGUACUAUUAGCUCAAACCUUACCUAACCAUGCUAUAUUCUUAGUACACACAACUCAGUCAG